rnacentral:lncRNA from 1 species
ACAAGCAUGCGAUCCUAGCAGCCUGCACCGGCAUAGUGCGAUGCUUCGUUACGGACGGGACACACACAAGGGAUACGACUAGCGUGGUAGGCCUGGCUGUUGACCUGUGCAUGUACACGUGCAUGUGCAGAACCGCCAAAGGCCGUCCGAGACCUGGUGUUGUUGGAGCCCAUAUCAGCAUGCCUGUCGACAGCAUCAGGUGGUUGGGCCAUCGACUACCUUAUCAGGUGAGCACUGUCAGAGCUGCUGCAAUAGGAUGAACAAAGCUGGAAGUACCCGUGCACCGAUGGUAGCAGUGUGCUCCUUUAAGCGAUAUAACUCGGCAGCAGUUGUGUGUGGUAGCUCAUGUCAUAUUGUGUAUCGUGGCUGUGGUUUGUGAGUGAGAUGCCAUGUCGUUUGCAUACUGGGCAAUGCUUAAUCGCCAAGCUAGAGGACCAUGCUUGACGGUCAGGUCGGCCUGGACUUGUGCUGGUGGCGUCAUGUUGGUGAGGCGCCGUGUUGGUCGGCCACCGUUCUACACAGGCGGGGUACAUAUAUGACAACCCGAUUCAUCCCGUCCCACCACGACUUCAACCACUCAUUGGCACUUAAGACCUGCAAUUCGAUAUACUUGCUUUACCCUGAUGCCUUGCAGAGCUGAUGCUGCACACGUGCAGCAGGAUCUGCAAGGGGCCUUGGCGCUGAUUGCCGAGCGGCAGCGGAGAGGAUCAGGAGGAGGAGGAGGAUUGGCUGGGUUAACGCUAAACGAAACCUUAAUCAUGUCACGCCACCUGGAUGCCGGGAAAGACAUGUCGCGAUUUUUAAACAUGUAUGAGGAGUGCGGCGCCGACUGCUAUAAAGGCAUUGCGUCGUUCUAUUCGCGAGAUCUUGCUUUGUUUGGAUACACCUUGGAAGUGUAGGCCAACAUUCUUGAAUCAUCUGACCCGUCCUGGCGAGCGGAUAGGGAUGCACGGUGUGUGCUGCGCGUGCUCCGAGUUAGAAGUAGUCCACUCUACUGGCUGGACAGACUGCCGGACAAUCAACGGAAAAGUGGCAAGCGCGCAAGCCUGCAUUUGCAAAACUCAGCACAUAUAUGCUCAAUCAGCGCUUAUAUUAAGCGAUAAGCGGUAUCAUGAUAUGGUAUUGUCGGAGCAAUGCAUGUAUUCCACUUAAGACGCAUGUUUUCAGGAUGAGCUGACGUUCAUGAAAGCUGCCGCUCAUGAAAGCUGCCGCAGCCUUAAGCUGCUGCGCCCAAGGCUUGUGCCACAAUUCUCAAAGUCGUACGGUCAGCUUUCGGUCAGCUUUCGCCAACGACCAACCGUGUACGGCGCUAAA